UGUACUUCUUGGGUCCUAAAAAUUACCAAGUCUGAGGGAAAGCUCAGCAUCUCUCUGGAAGACUGUAUCGGCGAAUCGUCUACGAGGCAGUGAACAACUGCUCUACCUGUUUUCCCGUGUGUAGAGGACGUUUAAAACAUUCGAUUAAACUACCAAGCGUUAAGGCCCACGCACAUUAGAUCCGGAUCGGACGCGUUGCGGCAAAGUGACAGCUAAAUCUAUUGUCUGUCAAAUUUACGUCAACGCAACGCAAACGGAUCUAAUGUGGGUGGCCCUUUACGAUCGUGAUUUGUACUGCCAGGCGGUAAACAACGAGUUCAGCUCAAUGACUAACAACGUAUGGACGCGAAUGCCUUGCCCUAUAGGUGUGAAGCCACCUAAGCAAAAGUAAGUGUUCGGGCUCAAAGAAGACAAAAUCGGACGACAAUCGACGACCUUGGAAUCGACAUCGUGGCCAGACUAUCGACAGUUGCUGUCCAUCACAGUUUCCGUAUUGUUCGGAUGGACUUCAAACCGGGUUUUAUGCACCGGGAACGAAACGAGGUACCA